UUUUAAUCUUACCAGAGGAACUUGUAUUUUAAUUCGAAAUUACUCGAUAAAUCUUACUUAGAUUUUGAUUUGUAUAUCGUCGUAAAAAUGAAACUUUAAAGUGUAUAUUAGAAAUUAUUUGAUAAAAAAUUACAGAUCAAGGUUCAGUAUAUCUAAGAAAAUAUGAGUUACAAUGAAGAGAAGCAAACGGAUAAUUUUUUUUGAAAGAGAGAUUUGAAGGUGGAUUUGGAAGUAAGUUGAGAGGAGAAAGUUUAAUUGAAUAGGCAAUAAAAUAUGU
rnacentral:rRNA from 1 species